rnacentral:rRNA from 1 species
UGCCCACUGAUAUAUAUUUAUAUUAAAGGGGUGCAGUAAUUUGACUGUACAAAGGUAGCAUAAUCAUUAGUCAUUUAAUUGAUGACUUGUAUGAAAGAUUGGAUGAAAUAUAGACUGUCUUUAAAAUAUUAUAUAAAAAUUAAUUUUUUAAUUAAAAAGUUAAAAUAAAUAAAAAAGACGAGAAGACCCUAUAGAGUUUUAUUAUAAAAUUAAUUUUGAUUAUUUAUAAAAAUAAUAUUUGAAUUUAUUUUAAAAUUUUGUUGGGGUGAUAAAAAAAUUUAAUGAACUUUUUUUUUUUAUUUUAACAUAGAUAAAUGAAUAAAUGAUCCAUUAAUAAUGAUUAUAAGAAAAAAUUACCUUAGGGAUAACAGCGUAAUUUUUUUUUUUAGUUCAUAUAAAAAAAAAAGUUUGCGACCUCGAUGUUGGAUUAAAAUAAAAUUUAAAUGUAAAAGUUUAAAGUUUUUGA